rnacentral:rRNA from 1 species
UGGGGAAUAUUGCACAAUGGGCGCAAGCCUGAUGCAGCCAUGCCGCGUGUAUGAAGAAGGCCUUCGGGUUGUAAAGUACUUUCAGUCGGGAGGAAGGUGGUAAGGUUAAUAACCUUAUCAAUUGACGUUACCGACAGAAGAAGCACCGGCUAACUCCGUGCCAGCAGCCGCGGUAAUACGGAGGGUGCAAGCGUUAAUUGGAAUUACUGGGCGUAAAGCGCACGCAGGCGGUUGAUUGAGUCAGAUGUGAAAUCCCCGGGCUUAACCCGGGAAUUGCAUCUGAUACUGGUCAGCUAGAGUCUUGUAGAGGGGGGUAGAAUUCCAUGUGUAGCGGUGAAAUGCGUAGAGAUGUGGAGGAAUACCGGUGGCGAAGGCGGCCCCCUGGACAAAGACUGACGCUCAGGUGCGAAAGCGUGGGGAGCAAACAGG